ensembl:lncRNA
GGAGGGGAGAGGGUGGAUUGAUAAUUGGAGGUGGAGGUGGAGGCUCAUGCUCACCAUGACGGCUCCAUGACACCUACGUGGUUUUGCCCUGAGGCAUGUGGAAUCUUAGCUCCCUGAUUGCACCUACCCCCGGAAUUGGAAGGCAGAAAAGUCUUAACCACUGAACCACCAGGAAAGUUCAUCCACUCUUAUUUUAAGCUGAAGCCAUUCUAGUGUAACAUCUUUGACUGACAACUCCUUGGCUCAGCCAAGGUGGAGACUUUUAGGAAAAAUCGCCACUAACUAAAGAAGUGAUGAAAAUGACUGUGAGAAACCAAAAGGAAAGAAAUCUUCCUUAAAGUCCCUGCUCCAAAUGGAGAAAGUGUUUCUGCUGAUGGAGCAAGUGAAUCUGGGCAUCCAGGGUGAGCCCAAGAGUCUUGGGAAUGGACUGGCUGAGCAAUAGCUCGAAGGCAGAGGACAAAGGAGGCUGGCAAUGCAGUUUGUGGAGCUCGGCUUCUUGAGGCCCAGCAGGGCCUGGUCUACAGGAGAGAAUUCACAGAGCUGGGAAGGACAGCAGAAUCAAUACCAAGCAAGAGGCUCUUCCAACUCUCACAGCCUUGGGACCAAGAAACCUGUUCCCCAUUGAGCAGUUCACUGACUCAAGGGACAUGAGUCUGAGUACAUUAGUAAUAGAAGCUCAGUUUGUAUGAUAAACAAAGAGGCGCCAUUAAAGAGGAUAUGUCCUCAUUUUUCGUCACUUGUUGAAAUCAAACUUCAGUUCUGCAGGAUACAAUUAUUAUCACGAUUCAGAAUUGUAUACACUGGAUGCAUUUCCUCAGAGCCUCUCUGCCUUGCUGAUGUUUUGCUGCUGUGUCCUACUGUUGUGUACCUGUCGAUGUUUCUGUCAAGCCUUGCUGUGCUUGCCUGCUUGGGAGAUGGACCAGAGCUCUGCCAUACCUCCUCCAGCGGCUACUUGGUACUCAUCUCAUGGAAUCUGCCUCUCAACCUGUGAAGAGGGUGAUCAGAGAGCUGGAAACCUCCAGUGUGGCCCUUUCUGGCCUCGAUUCAGAUGCGCCCAUGACUUUCUUGUCCUGAGAGAGGGCAGAUGUGAUAGGAAGCAAACUCGUGUACUGGUGCACAUCUGGGUCCAGUGCCCUCACCUGGUCAGGCAGGGACGCGGGAAAUCUGCUUGCCCGGGGAAUCUGCUUCCAGCCCUUCGGCCUCUGCUUCUCAUGUGAUCUGAGAGGUCUCCCAGGAAGGGCUGAAACCCCUCUGGCUCAGAAUCCUGAGAAAGCUGGCAGAGGAAAUCAGAGCAAAGGAAGGUCAGUGUCAUGUCCGGUGGUGCCAAAGUAUAAGGCCAAGUGGAAAUAAGAAUUUGCCUUGAACUCUUUUUUCUGGGUGCUUGUGGUUUUUUUUUUUUCAUUACCUGAUCGACUGGGCAUUAGGGAAGUAUGCCCCACCUUUUCCAGGAGUGGUUCUGACUUUAUAGUUUUAAGAAAUUCAAGAGUCUGAGGUUGACACUUCAAUAUAAGCACACUGAAUGCUGUUGUUCUAGAUACUGACUUAGGAAUUAAUCUUUGGCAAAUUACAUUACAGUAGCACCACAUAACCUUUUAUUUUAAUUUUCUUUCUCUAUAGGCUAUUUUAUAUCCACCUAAGAUAUUCUGAAAAUAAGCCGUGACACCUAAGAAUAUACAUUUAUCACUGCAUUAAUUCUCCAACUGGGGUGUUGCCCAUAUUUUAGAAUUACCUGGCUCCAGUUCCAGGGAAUGGAAUAUAUGAUAAGGUAGAAUGAGAGUAUAUGUUCUAAUGUGAUCCCCUGGAGAAAGAGAUGGUAACCCACUCCAGUAUUCUUGCCUGGGAAUUCCCACAAACAGAGGAGAUUCACAGGCUACAGUCCAUGGAGUCUCAAAAGAGUCAGACAUGACUUAGUGACUAAACAACAAACAAAAUGUUAACUAUCUAUGCAUUCUUAGAUGCAGAAAUAUUAUUCUAUGUAUUUGAAAUACUUUAUCAGUUUUAUGCUUACUUCUAAAAAUUCUUGGAGUUAAGACACACUUAUCUAAUCAUCAAACAGUCACGCAACCCCAAACAAUUGGGACUGUCUUUCCAAACACCUUUUUGGGAAUUUCCUCAGCUGGCUGAGAGAUCCUAGGCCAGGGAAGAGGAAAGCAUUUCUACCUGUGACUCUGAUGGGAUGGACUACAACCUUUUGAUGGUUGUUCUAACAAGGACUGGUCACAGAGCUUAGUUUUGAAACAAGAGGUGAAAAUGAAAGCCAAGCUUAUGUCUGGUUGAUAGAAUGGAACUUGCAUCCUGCUUAGGACCAUUCUUUUGUCUAAACACGGCACCACUCAUAUUUAUCAUCUACCUUUCCCAAUUCUCAUCCCCCUCUGAUGGGAAAUAAAUGAAACAGCAGAUAUCUGUCAAUUGUUGAAUAUGCACAAUGGGAUAUUAUUUAAAGAAAUAUAAAAGGGACUAAAGGAAUGAAGGGAUAAAAAGGAAUAUAAUGCUUUUGUAAGCUACAACUUGGAGCCUUGAAAAUGUUAUGCUAAAUGAAAAAGACCAGUCACAAAAUGCCACAUACUGUUUGAUUCUGUUUGUUUAAAAAAAAUUCCAAAAGUGAAUCCAUAGAGAUGGAAAGCAGGUCGGUCAUGGCUAGGAGGAAGGAGGAGUAGGGAGUGACUACUUAAUGGGCACAGGCUUUCCUCUAACAGUGAUGAAAUGUUUUGGAACUAGAGAGAGCUGAUGGCUGCACACCCUUGUGAAUGUACUAGUUGCCGUUGGACUGUACACUUUACAGUGGUUUAAAUGAAUUUUUUAUUAUAUGAAUUUUACUUCAACUUAAAAAAAGGGAUAGUGUAAAACAAAGAGAAGGGGGGGAAGAGGAAAUAUCAUUGGACAAGACGAUUCAACAAAUUUUAGAAAAUGGAAAACAUUUGGAGAAAUGGAAAUUGACUUACCAGAGCAGAGGAAGCGAAAACCUAAGUGGUUUCGAGAGAAUGAGGAAUGCGGGUGGGGUAACCAAUGGAGAAAGGAGCUACUUUACUGGUCAGACACUAUAGAAAGGCUGAGGCUUAGAGAUAACAGGUGCUAUGAUAAGUAGCAAUAAAUAAAUAACUUCUGGUUGAAAUUCAGAAUAUAGAGAAUUUGGAUGUCAAGGUCUUUUUUUCUCCCCAUGCCAAACAGUCAGGAGACUUUACAGCCUGUCCCCUUGCUCUGCCCUGGGAGACUGAGAGAUGGUGGAGUUCAGGGUGAAAUCCCAUCCUGA